UACGUAGGGGGCAAGCGUUGUCCGGAUUCAUUGGGCGUAAAGAGCGUGUAGGCGGCCAGGUAGGUCGGUUGUGAAAACUGGAGGCUCAACCUUCAGAGGUCGACCGAAACCAUCUGGCUAGAGUCCGGGAGAGGAGAGUGGAAUUCCUGGUGUAGCGGUGAAAUGCGCAGAUAUCGGGAGGAACACCGGUGGCGAAGGCGGUUCUCUGGGCCUUACCUGACGCUGAGGAGCGAAAGCGUGGGGAGCGAACAGG
rnacentral:rRNA from 1 species